CUUCUGGCAGGCAAACGUACUAAAGAGUUACAGGUGGUGCAGAUACGGUUUGGAAGGAAUCCCAGCUGGGCCUCCUCCCAGAAGCCUUCUGAUCACUCACCAGAUAACUCUAGCUGCUUGCAGAGUCCUGGGAAUCUUAGCUUCUCCAGGAAACCAGCUUCAAGGGCAACAAGAGGUUCUGAGGAGCUAGAAUAAUCUCGGAAGCUGAAACUGCUUUGUCCUUUUGCUUCCUUAGGUUGGAAAUAUUUUUGCAAUACCACUGAAUCCUCCAGUUUUUACCCCUUACGAUGGGAAGUGAAUACAGUAUGAAAAGGGAGUGGGACAUAUGAGAGGAACGACAGGCUCAAAAUAUGAAGACUUAAUCCAGACACCUCUGUGUCUCUGAACUUGCGUUGUUUCUUCUUUGGAGGUGAAGUACACAUCGUUUUACUCCGGGCAGAGGACUUGUGCUCCUUUUGAGAACUUUCAGCUCUGUAGUGUCGAGUCUUCUGGUUUCCAGAUCCACAUCCUGCCCUGGGGGAAUUGACAUCCAUCAGCUUCUUCUAGGAAAGCACUCUGAAGCCAAGUUGAAACAUUAUACUCUCAGGCAGUAGUAGAGAUCAACCUCUUAAAACCAAAUCCAUGGGCCCAGGAGUAUGGAAAAGAGUUCAAUAAAAUGGCCUUAACUGGUAUAAGAAGUUACAAUUGUUAAAAGGAGAUUCAGCUGUGAUAGCAAAAGAGAAAGAAAAUGAAAAAGUUGUCCUGGCUCAUCUCUGGAAAGACAUGAUAUUUCAUAACCUCAAGGUGUUUGCUUCUGACCUAUAACUUCAAUUAUAGACCAGGUUAUCCAAAAGUUCUCCUUAUUAACAAGGUAUCUGUUUUUACCAGGUGUCUGUUAUUAAUUAGUUAGUAUAUAAUUUAAUGCAAUUAACCAAAGCACCUCUUAUGCCUAGAACAUAGCAGGUGGUUUACUUCUUUCUUAUGACAUAUUCAAGACUCAUGGUUUUCCCAUUUUUAGAGUCAAAAACAUAAAUUCCUCCUUUUGCUUUCCUGCGCUAACAUAUCCACCUCACACACCUGUUUACUCUUUGUUUGCAGGGAAAUGUGUACAUCUGCUAGGGCGUGAUCUCGAUGAUGAGGUGACAUAUGGGAUGUCAUUCCAUUAUUUAAAGAACAAAUUCCAAAGAUCAAACUUUUCUCCCCACACUUGUGAGUGAUACAUGGGUCUUCUCAGGGACAUUAAAAUGGAGCUAGUCUCACUGAUUUCAUGGACAUUUAGCAUACAAUUAUUGAGUUACCUGCUGAAAUCUCUUCAUACAUAUCUGGUUUCACCCUAGGUUAUGAAUAUCCAUGCAGACUAUUUUUCCAAGCUUCUACGCAACUAACCUUGGCACUUACCCCCAGCUCAGGCAGCAAGCAAAUUAUUCUGGCUUGAUGUCCAUCUGAUGGUUUACUCUUGCUACCUCCUACUCCCUACUAUAACCACAAAUGACCUCCUCCCCACUUGCUCUCAUUCUUACCAGAAGUUUUCAGUUAACAGCUCACUACUAAGCCAGUUUCCUUCUUAAAGUAUAUAUAUCCUUUUAAAAUUUCCAGUCUUGUUACUCUCUCUCUUCCUCUUCAAUUUCUUGUCCUGUUGUCACAAGAUCUCUUCUUAGCUCACCAAAUUAUCUUCUCUUCCCUUUCUCUUUUAUUCCAUUUAUGAACAAGACACCAACUUCUACCACAACAACAGAACAAAACAACCCCUAGCUUCAAAGAGAACAAAAAAACCCCAAAAUAAAUUAAAAAUGGCUUUAAUGCUUAGAGUUGCAGGGACAAGAAAAACCACAUUCUUUUAAAAUGAAAUUAGAUGUCAUAAAGGACUAUGAACUAGUAAGAGUUCCCCGAAGUCCCCUUCCGAAUCUCACAAAAGACUCCAUCUCCUUCUUCAUCUGGCUUUUUGUUAAUAACCAAUGUCCAAUAUAAAUAGAAACAUUGCUUUGUUUUGAUUGUAUUGCUCUUUCAUUUGUGCAAAUGGUAGUAUUUCUAUUGUAUCAAUGAUAAACUUUUUCAGGCAAGCCUGAGAUGGCAGAUUACAACAUUAUUUCUAUGGGAACACCCAUUCCUAAUUGGAAACAAUCAGAUUACCAACAGAGAGUUCAUAAACUGAGAGCUGCCUGCAAUGAGAACUGAUUUACACUCUGGUUUCUAAUUUAGAAACAAUUUCACUGUGCUAGUUUCUCCUUUUGCACAAAGAUUUAGGAUGGUGCAGUAGGGUAAGGAAAAAUGGCUUCCCUUCAGUCUGCUAGGUUCUUUGGCUGGGCUACAAAUUAAAUUGCCAUAAAACAGAUUAAUAGGAGAAAACCAUAUUUAAUAACAUGUAUGCAUGGGAGUCCCAUAAAAUAUGGGAUUGGAAGAAGGAUCAGAUGAUUAUAUAGCAUCCUGAGGUACAGAAAGGAGUAGGGGCUUGGCACUUCCAGGGGAUGGUGGCAACACAAGCAAUGGGAGGAUAAGGGGAGACAAUGUAUGGUGAAUAAAUGGUUGUCUUACGCAGACAUAAGGUCUCUCACGUAAUACAAGUUAUCUGGGAGCAGCCCUCAGAAAAAUAGGUGUUAAUCUGUGGGGUCAUGGUGUCCACCUCCAAUCUCCUCUCCUGUGAUCGAAGUUAAUCUUCCUUGGUUGAUAAGAUUCCCAGGGAGGGGAUUCAUGACAAUUUAGUUCCUUUUGGGGGCUGUCUUUAGGAAGACUAAAGGGAGCUCAGAGGAAGCCUCUGCCGGCAUCCACUGUUCCCCAAGUGUCCUCAAUUAUCAGUCUGAUACGUGGUAAGUAAGUGGUUUCUAGGUAUUUAAUAUGCCUUUUCCUGAUAACUAAUUUGCCAGAUAGAUUUUCCAAAAAUGGUUGCAACAAUAUCUCCCAUCCCUGAUUCUCUUCUUAAAUAUGACUUUGACAACUUUUCUAUCAAGAGGUAGGGUCUAUAUCCCCUUCCCUUGAAACUAAGAGGGUCUGUGGUUAAGGCAGAACUGACACUCAGUGACUUUUGAGCUAAGUCAUAAAAGAUGAUACAACUUAUGGCUGGUUCUGACUCAAUCUUGGAACCCAGCCAUCAUGUUGUGAAGAAUCUCAGGACAUUUACAGAGGCUUCAUAGGUUUCUGGCAGACAGCUCCAGCUUACAACAGCAUCAACCAACAGACUUGUGAGUGAAGAUGGCUCCUGAAGGUAUCAGCCCCCCGCUGUCCAGUCACCUCCCAGCUUUUGAGUCUUUCCAGCCGAGACCCCAGACACCAAGGCACAGAGACAAACGUCUGCAUUGUAACCUGUCCAAAAUUCUGACCCACAGAGUUCUUGGCAUAAUAUAAUGAUUGUUUUAUGUCACUAAAGUUUGGAGUGGCUUGUCACAUUGCAAUAAAAAAUUGCAACAACGAAGGAGGUUGAUUAUCUUUUCAUGCUUAUUGAUCAUUUGCAUUUCUUCUGUGUACUGUCUAUUCACAAAUUUUGCCUGUUUGACUCUUGGGUUAUUUGUCUUGCUCAUAUUUUCUGCAUAUUAAUCCUACUUUUGUUACCUAUAUUGCAAAUGUAUUCAACCAGUUGCUUGCUAGGUAAUAGAGAAAUUUGAGUUUUAUGUAUCCGUUCAUUGUUUUCAUUUUUUAGUCUUGGGGUUUUGUAUCUUUUUUUUUUUUUUUUUUUUUUUUUUUGAGACGACGGAGUCUCUCUCUGUCACCCAGGCUGGAGUGCAGUGGCGUGAUCUCCGCUCACUGCAAGCUCUGCCUCCCGGGUUCAUGCUGUUUUCCUGCCUCAGCCUCCCAAAUAGCUGGGACCACAGGCGCCCGCCACCAUGCCCAGCUAAUUUUUUUUUUUUUUGUAUUUUUUAGUAGAGACGGGGUUUCACUGUGUUAGCCAGGAUGGUCUCGAUCUCCUGACCUCGUGAUCCGCCAGCCUCGGCCUCCCGAAGUGCUGGGAUUACAGGCGUGAGCCACUGUGCCCGGCCGGUUUUGUGUCUUUUUUAGAAAAAGGCUUUCCCAUUUGAAGAAUAUAAAAAUAUCCUAUACUUUCUUCUAGCACUUUUAUACCUUUUCUUAUUCAUCAUAAGAUCAGUCUCUGACUCUAUCUUGAAUUUAUUAUUUUACAUGGUAUGGGACAGUGAAAAUCUAACUCUUUUUAGAUGGAUAGUCAGUUGUCUCUGUACCAUUUAUUUAAAUCAUCCAUUCUUUUUCCAUUGAUUUGAAAUGCCUCCUUUAUGAACUAAAUUCUUAAAUAAAUAUAUGUCUAUUUCUAGACUGUCUAUUCUGAACCAUUAAACUGUUUGAUCAUUACUACAAAAGUGCCAUUUUAUUUUAAUUUAUAUAGCUUUUUGAUAUGUUCUGAUAUCCAGUAGAACGCAUAGUAUAGUCUAAUUUUUCUUCCCCCAGAAAUAUCUUUGCAGAUUUUAAGAAUUUCGUCUUUCAGAUAAAUUUCAGAAUAAACUCGCCAAGUGCCUUGCUUGGCACUUAAGUCACAGCCUUGCUUUGACUUAAUAAAUUAAUGUGUAGCAAACUGACAUAUUUAUUAUGUCUUCUUGUAUAUUAACAUGGUAUAUUUCCCCAU
rnacentral:lncRNA from 10 species